CAUUGAUGAGCUUGUUUUCACGGAGCCUGCUAAAAGGAAAAGGGUUUCCCUUGUAUGGAAACACUUUGAGCAGAUCUCUCCAAAUAAGCCACUGGGAUACAACAACAACACCUCAUCUAUGUUAUUGUACUUGUCAUGUAUAAUGAGGGGGAUAGAGUUGGAUCCAGCCAAGACCGCAAAGGCCAUGGUUGAGACCAAAUAUCAACAAGAGAAAGAG